rnacentral:rRNA from 1 species
CACAUUGGGACUGAGAUACGGCCCAGACUCCUACGGGAGGCAGCAGUGGGGAAUAUUGCACAAUGGGCGAAAGCCUGAUGCAGCGACGCCGCGUGAGGGAUGGAGGCCUUCGGGUUGUAAACCUCUUUCGCUCAUGGUCAAGCCGCAACUCAAGGUUGUGGUGAGGGUAGUGGGUAAAGAAGCGCCGGCUAACUACGUGCCAGCAGCCGCGGUAAUACGUAGGGCGCGAGCGUUGUCCGGAAUUAUUGGGCGUAAAGGGCUUGUAGGCGGUUGGUCGCGUCUGCCGUGAAAUCCUCUGGCUUAACUGGGGGCGUGCGGUGGGUACGGGCUGACUUGAGUGCGGUAGGGGAGACUGGAACUCCUGGUGUAGCGGUGGAAUGCGCAGAUAUCAGGAAGAACACCGGUGGCGAAGGCGGGUCUCUGGGCCGUUACUGACGCUGAGGAGCGAAAGCGUGGGGAGCGAACAGGAUUAGAUACCCUGGUAGUCCACGCUGUAAACGUUGGGCACUAGGUGUGGGGGCCACCCGUGGUUUCUGCGCCGUAGCUAACGCUUUAAGUGCCCCGCCUGGGGAGUACGGCCGCAAGGCUAAAACUCAAAGGAAUUGACGGGGGCCCGCACAAGCGGCGGAGCAUGCGGAUUAAUUCGAUGCAACGCGAAGAACCUUACCAAGGCUUGACAUGCACGGCGGCACUGCAGAGAUGUGGUGGCAUUUAGUUGGUCGUGUGCAGGUGGUGCAUGGUUGUCGUCAGCUCGUGUCGUGAGAUGUUGGGUUAAGUCCCGCAACGAGCGCAACCCUUGCCCUAUGUUGCCAGCACGUGAUGGUGGGGACUCGUGGGGGACUGCCGGGGUUAACUCGGAGGAAGGUGGGGAUGACGUCAAAUCAUCAUGCCCCUUAUGUCUUGGGCUUCACGCAUGCUACAAUGGCUGGUACAGAGGGUUGCGAUACUGUGAGGUGGAGCGAAUCCCUUAAAGCCAGUCUCAGUUCGGAUUGGGGUCUGCAACUCGACCCCAUGAAGGUGGAGUCGCUAGUAAUCGCAGAUCAGCAACGCUGCGGUGAAUACGUUCUCGGGCCUUGUACACACCGCCCGUCACGUCACGAAAGUUGGUAACACCCGAAGCCCAUGGCCUAACCGCUUUGUGCGGGGGGAGUGGUCGAAGGUGGGAUUGGCGAUUGGGACGAAGUCGUAACAAGGUAGCCGUACCGGAAGGUGCGGCUGG